UCAAACGCGUUGAAAAAGCUUAAGGAAAGCGAUGCGCAUUUUAAGAGAGCCGCUGUUCGGUGCGAAGCGGUAUUCGGCGUUUUCCGUCGUCACUUUUGAGCGUCUUUGCCGAAACUACAUUAAGCAAAGACGGUUUGCCGCCGUUAAAGGCACAGAGCGGCCGUUUUUUACGGCAAAAUGAGUGGUACCGCGGUAAUUUUCGCCUCAUAC
rnacentral:ncRNA from 1 species